rnacentral:rRNA from 1 species
GCUCGUCCGCUCAGGGUUAGUCGGGACCUAAGCCGAGGCCGAUAGGCGUAGGCGAUGGACAACAGGUAGAGAUUCCUGUACCAGUGCUAAUUGUUUAACCGAUGGGGUGACACAGAAGGAUAGGGAAUCGCACGAAUGGAAAUGUGCGUCCAAGCAGUGAGUGUGAGAAGUAGGCAAAUCCGCUUCUCGCGAAGCAUGAGCUGUGAUGGGGAAGGAAAUUAAGUACGGAAGUUCCUGAUUUCACGCUGUCAAGAAAAGCCUCUAGGAAGAGUAGUACUGCCCGUACCGCAAACCGACACAGGUAGAUGAGGAGAGAAUCCUAAGGUGAGCGAGAGAACUCUCGUUAAGGAACUCGGCAAAAUGACCCCGUAACUUCGGGAGAAGGGGUGCUCUAUUAGGGUGCAAGCCCGAGAGAGCCGCAGUGAAUAGGCCCAGGCGACUGUUUAGCAAAAACACAGGUCUCUGCAAAACCGUAAGGUGACGUAUAGGGGCUGACGCCUGCCCGGUGCUGGAAGGUUAAGAGGAGUGCUUAGCUUCGGCGAAGGUACGAAUUGAAGCCCCAGUAAACGGCGGCCGUAACUAUAACGGUCCUAAGGUAGCGAAAUUCCUUGGCGGGUAAGUUCCGACCCGCACGAAAGGCGCAACGAUCUGGGCACUGUCUCAACGAGAGACUCGGUGAAAUUAUAGUACCUGUGAAGAUGCAGGUUACCCGCGACAGGACGGAAAGACCCCGUGGAGCUUUACUGCAACCUGAUAUGGAAUGUUUGUACCGC